rnacentral:ncRNA from 1 species
UCCGGGAAACCCGUCUGAACCCCGGUCGUGCUAGGGAUAGGGAAUUGCAAUUAUUUCCCUUGAACGAGGAAUUCCCAGUAAGCGCGAGUCAUUAGCUCGCGUUGAUUACGUCCCUGCCCUUUGUACACACCGCCCGUCGCUACUACCGAUUGAAUGGUUUAGUGAGGUCCUCCGAUUGGACCCGGUCCGGGCGGCGACGUCCGAGCCGGCGUCCGAGAAGACGAUCUAACUUGAUCAUUUAGAGGAAGUAAAAGUCGUAACAAGGUUUCCGUAGGUGAACCUGCGGAAGGAUCAUUA